rnacentral:rRNA from 1 species
CCUACGGGUGGCAGCAGUGAGGAAUAUUGGUCAAUGGGCGGGAGCCUGAACCAGCCAAGUCGCGUGAGGGAAGACGGUCCUAUGGAUUGUAAACCUCUUUAGGCGGGGAGCAAUGCCGGGCACGCGUGCCCGGAGGGAGAGUACCCGCAGAAUAAGCAUCGGCUAACUCCGUGCCAGCAGCCGCGGUAAUACGGAGGAUGCGAGCGUUAUCCGGAUUUAUUGGGUUUAAAGGGUGCGUAGGCGGAUUUUUAAGUCAGCGGUAAAAUGUCCGGGCUCAACCCGGGCCGGCCGUUGAAGCUGGGGAUCUUGAGUGGGCGAGAAGUAUGCGGAAUGCGUGGUGUAGCGGUGAAAUGCAUAGAUAUUACACAGAACACCGAUUGCGAAGGCAGCUUGCUAGGCCGGAUCUGACACUGAUGCACGAAAGCGUGGGGAUCGAACAGGAUUAGAUACCCCAGUAGUC